GGGGCUGUAGCUUAAUCGGUAGAGUAUGUACAUGGCAUGUACAUGGGUGAUGGUUCAAUUCCGUUCAGCUCCA
rnacentral:tRNA from 1 species